GCUGGUGUGGCUCAACGGUAGAGCAGCUGAUUUGUAAUCAGCAGGUUGAUGGUUCGACUCCGUUCACCAGCU
rnacentral:tRNA from 1 species